UGGGGGAUAUUGCACAAUGGGCGAAAGCCUGAUGCAGCGACGCCGCGUGGGGGAUGAAGGCUUUCGGGUUGUAAACCUCUUUCGCUAUCGAACAAGGCCCGCUUAGGGUGGGUUGAGGGUAGGUGGAGAAGAAGCGCCGGCUAACUACGUGCCAGCAGCAGCGGUAAUACGUAGGGCGCGAGCGUUGUCCGGAAUUAUUGGGCGUAAAGGGCUUGUAGGCGGCUUGUUGCGCCUGCUGUGAAAACGCGGGGCUUAACUUCGCGCGUGCAGUGGGUACGGGCAGGCUUGAGUGUGGUAGGGGUGACUGGAAUUCCAGGUGUAGCGGUGGAAUGCGCAGAUAUCUGGAGGAACACCGAUGGCGAAGGCAGGUCACUGGGCCAUUACUGACGCUGAGGAGCGAAAGCAUGGGUAGCGAACAGG
rnacentral:rRNA from 1 species